rnacentral:rRNA from 1 species
UACGUAGGGUGCGAGCGUUGUCCGGAAUUACUGGGCGUAAAGAGCUCGUAGGUGGUUUGUCGCGUUGUUCGUGAAAACUCACAGCUUAACUGUGGGCGUGCGGGCGAUACGGGCAGACUGGAGUACUGCAGGGGAGACUGGAAUUCCUGGUGUAGCGGUGAAAUGCGCAGAUAUCAGGAGAAACACCCAGUGGCAAGGCAGGCUCUGGCGUACAGUACUGACGAGCGAGAACGUGGGGAGCGAACAGG